rnacentral:rRNA from 1 species
AUGAACGCUGGCGGCGUGCCUAAUACAUGCAAGUCGAGCGAACAGACGAGGAGCUUGCUCCUCUGACGAUAGCGGCGGACGGGUGAGUAACACGUGGAUAACCUACCUAUAAGACUGGGAUAACUUCGGGAAACCGGAGCUAAUACCGGAUAAUAUAUUGAACCGCAUGGUUCAAUAGUGAAAGACGGUUUUGCUGUCACUUAUAGAUGGAUCCGCGCCGCAUUAGCUAGUUGGUAAGGUAACGGCUUACCAAGGCAACGAUGCGUAGCCGACCUGAGAGGGUGAUCGGCCACACUGGAACUGAGACACGGUCCAGACUCCUACGGGAGGCAGCAGUAGGGAAUCUUCCGCAAUGGGCGAAAGCCUGACGGAGCAACGCCGCGUGAGUGAUGAAGGUCUUCGGAUCGUAAAACUCUGUUAUUAGGGAAGAACAAAUGUGUAAGUAACUAUGCACGUCUUGACGGUACCUAAUCAGAAAGCCACGGCUAACUACGUG